CUCUUCGGAGUGAGUGGCAGACGGGUGAGUAACGCGUCGCGAAUCUACCUAGUUCUACGGAACAACAGUUGGAAACGACUGCUAAUACCGUAUACGCCCUACGGGGGAAAGAUUUAUCGGAAUUAGAUGAGCCCGCGUAAGAUUAGCUAGUUGGUGGGGUAAUGGCCUACCAAGGCGACGAUCUUUAGCUGGUCUGAGAGGAUGAUCACCCACACUGGGACUGAAACACGGCCCAAACUCCUACGGGAGGCAGCAGUGGGAAAUAUUGGACAAUGGGCGCAAGCCUGAUCCACCCAUGCCGCGUGAGUGAUGAAGGCCUUAGGGUUGUAAAGCUCUUUCAGUAGGGAAGAUAAUGACGGUCCCUACAAAAGAAGCCCCGGUUAAUUUCGUGCCCACAUCCGCGGUAUUACAAAGGGGGCUUAGCGUUGUUCGAAUUUACUGGGGGAAAAACCCCACGUAGGCCGGAUUGGGUCCUUUAGAGGGGAAA
rnacentral:rRNA from 1 species